rnacentral:rRNA from 1 species
AUGCAAGUCGAACGAAGUAGCAAUACUUAGUGGCAGACGGGUGAGUAACAUGUAGGUAUCUUCCCUUUGGUGAGGAAUAACACGAGGAAACUUGUGCUAAUACCUCAUAAGUCUUUACGGAGAAAGCUUUAUGCGCCGAAGGAUGAGCCUGCACUUGAUUAGCUUGUUGGUGGGGUAAUGGCUUAUCAAGACUUUGAUCAAUAGCUGAUCUGAGAGGAUGAUCAGCCACAUUGGGACUGAGACACGGCCCAAACUCCUACGGGAGGCAGCAGUAGGGAAUAUUGCACAAUGGAGGAAACUCUGAUGCAGCGAUGCCGCGUGAGUGAAGAAGGCCUUUGGGUUGUAAAGCUCUUUCGUCGGGGAAGAAAAUGACUGUACCCGAAUAAGAAGGUCCGGCUAACUUCGUGCCAGCAGCCGCGGUAAUACGAAGGGACCUAGCGUAGUUCGGAAAUUACUGGGCUUAAAGAGUUCGUAGGUUGUUAAAAAAGUUGGUGGUGAAAUCCCAGAGCUUAACUCUGGAACUGCCAUCAAAACUUUUUAGCUAGAGUAUGAUAGAGGAAAAGCAGAAUUUCUAGUGUAGAGGUGGAAUUCGUAGAUAUUAGAAAGAAUACCAAUUGCGAAGGCAGCUUUCUGGAUCAUUACUGAACACUGAGGAACGAAAGCAUGGGUAGCGAAGAAGAUUAGAUACCCUCGUAGUCCAUGCCGUAAACGAUGUGUGUUAGACGUUGGAAAUUUAUUUU